AAUUUGCCUUUAGGAGGGGGAUAACAACUGGCAACGGUUGCUAAUACCCCAUAUGCUUUCCAGUGAAAUGGAUUUUUCCGCCUAAAGAGAAGCUUGCGGCUGAUUAGCUUGUUGGUAAGGUAAUGGCUUACCAAGGCGACGAUCAGUAUCUGGUUUGAGAGGACGAUCAGACACACUGGAACUGAGACACGGUCCAGACCCCUACGGGAGGCAGCAGUGGGGAAUUUUCCGCAAUGGGCGAAAGCCUGACGGAGCAAUACCGCGUGAGGGAUGACGGCCUAUGGGUUGUAAACCUCUUUUUUCAGGGAGGAAUCAAUGACGUGUACCUGAAGAAUAAGCAUCGGCUAACUCCGUGCCAGCAGCCGCAGUAAGACGGAGGAUGCAAGUGUUAUCCGGAAUCACUGGGCGUAAAGCGUCUGUAGGUGGUCAAAUAAGUCAACUGUUAAAUCUUGAGGCUCAACCUCAAAAUCGCAGUCGAAACUAUUAGACUAGAGUAUACUAGGGGUAAAGGGAAUUUCCAGUGGAGCGGUGAAAUGCGUAGAGAUUGGAAAGAACACCGAUGGCGAAGGCACUUUACUGGGCUAUUACUAACACUGAGAGACGAAAGCUAGGGUAGCAAAUGGGAUUAGAUACCCCAGUAGUCCUAGCCGUAAACAAUGGAUACUAGAUG
rnacentral:rRNA from 1 species